rnacentral:lncRNA from 1 species
CGGUUUGUAAAUAGGAACCGGCGGUGGAAGCGGCUUCUUAUAAACCGGCACCGGAUGAGGCUUAUAAACCGGUGGUUUGUAGACAGGAACCGGCGGUGGAAGCGGCUUCUUGUAGACCGGCACCGGAUGAGGCUUAUAAACCGGUGGUUUGUAGACAGGAACCGGCGGAGGGAGUGGUUUCUUGUAGACCGGCACCGGAUGAGGCUUAUAAACCGGUGGUGGAAGAGGUUUCUUGUAGAUGGGAGGGUGAGGGUAAUGAUGGUGGAAGUUUUUCAAUGGCGGAAGUGGUGGAAGCUUAGGCAAUGGAGGGAAGUUGUGGUGGUGGUGAGGCCAAAAGGAGGCUGAGACACAUGUUAUUGGUGAGAAUUUGAGGUUCUCUUUUAACCCAAACUGGUGUUUCUGGUCGGUGGUGGAUUUGAAAACUAGCUUAGAGGAUUCUAAGCCAUUAAUGGAAGGGCAAGGUUGAGGUGAUGAUACAGUGCGAAGCUGUGCGUAGCAAUGUUCAUUCAAUUUGCCAUCUUUGAACAAGUGUUGUGGAAGAGAGACUUUGAAAUUGCCUUGUUUGUCAAGCUUUCCAGACCCUCUGGUUUUGAAAUGGUCACCAUUUUCUGGCUUGCAAUCUAUGGUUACACGAAGACCUAGAAAGAGAAAACGCCAUUAUCAUAACAUCAUAAAUAUUGCUUCAAAUUAAAGAAAGGGAGAAUACACCAUUAACAUAACAUCAUAAAGUUUAAUUCUCUAAUGUUAACAAAAUGUUAGUGUGAUGGUUCACUGGUAGAUUUAUACACUAAUAAUGAAUCAAAUAAAAACCUCUUUUUACUAUUUUUUAGAGCUUUUGUCUUACUCAUGACUAAAUUUUUUAAAUUUUUGGGGAGAAGUGUAUCUAUAUUUAAGCAGCUUUGCAGAUUUAUCCCUAUCAUGAGUACUUGAGUAUCAACUCUUUAAUUGACCAUUGUCAAUAAAAAAAGUAUGUACAUAUAAUUGAGUUUGAACUCAAAUACGUAUGUAUAUCAAUCUUAGUGUAAUAUGUGUGUUGAGGAGAGUUCGCGCUUUGGGCCAAUCUUGGACCCUCAAUGAAGGUAUUGUUCUCUAGAUUUCUAUAUUCGGUUUUAACUUUGAGUUUUUGUUUCGUAACUUUGAAGGGAGUUCAAAAGGGUUCACGAAGUUUGAUGGAGCGCCUAAUCCAUCAAAGAAAUGUUUAACAUUUGGCCUUAAUGGGUUUUGAACCUAUGCCCUUAUAUGGCAUUAGUGGGUAAGAACUAGACCUGUUCAUGGAUCGGGUUACCCACCUAAGCCUAAAGGCCCAUUAGAAAUUUCAAAGGGUUUGGGUAAAAAAUUAGACUCGAAAAAUAGAUUUGGACAAAAAAAAAUAGGUCAAUUUAUAGUAUAGGUCGGGCUCGAGGCUUGAACAUUCAAGGCCUGAGCUUGACCCAACCCAUUUUUAAGUUUAUAAUAUUUUAUAUUAUGUUAUUUUUAUAUAUUAUAUAAUUUAGAACACAUUAAAAAAUAAACCUAUACUAAAUAUAUAAUACUACUCUAAUGUAAAUAUUAAAAUAAAGUUCAGAUGACUAUAUAAAAAUUUUCAAUAAAUAAAAAAGUAUAAAAUUAUUAAAUAUUAAAAUAAUAUAAUAUAAAUAUUUUUAAAAAAUUUAAAAAAUAAUAUAGGUGGACCUAAAAUAGGCUUAGGUUAGUCUUUUGCAAAUAUGGGCUUGUUUGAGUAAAAUUUUAAGCCUAUAUUCCGGGUCGGACUAGGCAUGGACAAGCAUAAAGUAUGUUAAUAUCAUGCCUAAGCCCGGCUCGAACCUAUGAACACCUCUAAUAAGAACAUUACCGUGAACUUUCUUAGGCUCUCCUUAAAAUACAAGUGACAAAACUCAGAUAAUCAAACAUAAACACCCACAAACAAUACUUCUGAGGAUCCGGAACCGACCCAAACAACUAACUCCCCUCAGCAAUAUAGGCCACUACAACAUGCAAGGAAUGGCCUCGAAAUUAAUUGAGCAGCUUAGAUGAAAACAAUACCUGAAAAUGCUUGGGUGGUGUCCAAGUUAUUCUCUUUGCAAUCUGUGCAUUCACCAACCCCGACCACUUCAACUGUUUUACCAUCACCGUUAGCAUUGCAAAAUGUGGUCACAAAUAAUAAUGACCAUACUGUGAACGCCACAAGUGCUCUUCCCCGAAACUCGAGGUUCUCCAUUGUUAUUGCUUCUGAGGUAGUGAUAUGAUAUCAGAGAUUGGAUACCAAAGCCUUAUUAUAUAAUGGUGUUCAAAAGGGAUCAUGGGAUCACCAUUUUCAAUGGCUUACCGACACCACACUUAAAUGCCUCACAUAAGGUUAGGGAACGGGACCCUCACCACCUCUUUGAGAUGACUUUGGUGUAGACACGUAGCUUGAAUUUGAAAAUUUCACUGAUUAAUUUCAAUUUAAACUUUGGUUUGAUAUCAUCAUAAAAAAAAUUAAUAAUUUAAAUUUGAGAUGAUUUUGUUGAGUAUUUUUAUUGUGUAUUCUCUUAAUGGGAGAAUCAGAUAUUUAUAUGAUUCAUGGAAUUGACGUUCUAGGUAAGCUCAAUGCAUAUCGACACGUAUUCUACUCUAGACUUAACACGUGUUUGUUGGUCCAGGUGCUCGCCGGUUCAUUCGUUUGGCUUUGUACCCUGUGCGAACUGGGCUCGCAAGCCCUCCCCGUGAGCCCCUCAACGACUCCACCUGGUGGGGUCCAAACUCGGGUCGCAGGUCGGUAGCUCGGGUUAUAUUCGAGUUUCAGGUUGGCAAUUGGAUAUCCCACAAUAGAUCUAAUUCGAAAAUUGAGCUUCAAAUUUAAAUGAUUUGAACCCAAAACAACCCAAAAUUGAAAUGGCUCGAACUUAAAACAAGUUAAACUCAAAAUGAUUCAAACCCAAAAUUAAUCUGAAAAAUCGAGUUAACUCAAUCUAGACUGAUUGGUCUAAAACUGAUCCAACCCACUCAAUUUAUAGGUGAAUUCGGUGUAAUGGUUUGAAAAAGAUUGUGAUGUUACCCGAAUGACCCGAACCCAAAAUAACUGGAAAUUAAAAUGGCUCGAACUUAAAAUUAUUCGAAUCUAAAAUUGAUUCAAACCCAAAAUUAACAUGAACUGAAAUGAUUUUAAAAUUUUAAAAUUCGAAUUAACCCGAUCUGAAUUUGUUUUGAUCUAAAACUAAUCCCACCCACUUAAAUUACUAGUGAAUUUAGUGUAAUAGUUUGAAACCAAAACAACUUUAAAUUAAAAUGAUUCGGACCUAAAACAAAUCGAAUUCAAAGUAAUUUAAACUCAAAAUUAAUCUGAAAAUUGAUACGAUUUAAAUUAAUUUGAUCCAAAACUAACCCGACCCACCUAAUUGACAGGGUGUUUAGUGUAAUGGUUUGAAAAAGAUAGUAAUGUGCCACAACCCCACAACUCGACAACCAUUUGUUGAAUUAAGCUAAUGAUAGUAUCUUUCAUUGAAUGAGCCCUCAACUGCACAACGAACAGCUAAAUUAUGCUUUGUGUUUUCUCAUAUGCAUUUUAAAACCUACUUACUAACUUUCAUAAAUAAUUUUAUCUAUAUUUACACAAUUCUUUGUUGAAUUACAAAAAUGGUCCUUCAAUAUUCAUCUUAAUUUGGAUUAUUUAAAUUGUGCAACAUAUGAAUUUCAAAUAAAUCAACCACACAAAUGCCAACCAAUUUAAUUAUUACUCAAAAAAACCACUUGCUUUCUAAGUUGUUCUUAGCCAUCACUAUCAUAAUUAAGCUCAUUUUGUGAGACAACCCUUUGACUAUUUUUCAUCUAAUAAAUAUGGGGUUCAUCCAUGUGGCCAUGAAUUUGCAAGUCCCCCCCCCCCCUUUGAUCCAAACUUGGGCCAAACCCUAAUCCUUGAAUUUUACUUUUAUUAUUGAAAGCACAUGGUGGAGGUGGACCCUUUCUUUGACCAUCAAAGAUAAUCUAGUAACUUUGCCAAAAGAGGUCUCUAGAAAUGAAACCAUUUGUUGUAGAUUGAAGGUAGAUAGGGUAACCUCAAAUAAUAUUAUAAUUCACCCUAACGGUGUAAAGAAAAUCAUUAUACUUGAAUUUGAUUUUCAAAGCAUACUCCGAAGCUUAAGUGAGAGUCGGAGAGAGAAUAUCUUCUUCAUUUUUGUGAACCGUCUCAUUUUACUCUAAAACAUAAUGUCAACUAAUAAGGAUGUGACACGUAGCACGUUUACAUUAGACGUCAUACACUUUUAGGGUAAAAUGAAAAGAAAUUGAUAGUUUAGAUAUCACUUUUGAUUAAAAAAAUUAGGUACUUAACUGAGGAAAACGAUAUAAAUUGAGGUCAAUUUUGUAAUUAAGCAAAAAAAAAACAUCUUUCACAUAAAUUAAUGGCAAUGCUGGAUUUAGUUACACUUCUUUUUCACAAAUCGGUUUUCAAGUGAUGUGAUUACCAUGUGAUUAAAAGGAAAAACAAAAUCAAUCAUGGAUUUAAAUGUUGAAAAUGUAGUUAUAGGUCACAUACAAAAAUGUAGGGUCAAACAUUACUUAAAUAUUUUUCAAUUAAAGACAACAUUAUGCACCUUAAUAUUUGGUGAGAUGGAGUUUCCCUAUCAAGCUUGCUAAUUAGUAGGGUAAAGGUGUAUUCAUGUAAUCUUAUAUUUUAACAAAAGUUGUGAAUAUAGACCAAUAAAUCUAUUUAUAAAUCAAGUUGGGUCAAAUUUCGUAAUAAAAUUUUGAUGAAAGUUACUACUUAUAGGCUUUCAUACCAAUGGCUCAAUCAAAUUAAGCUCGUAGGGUCUACCAAUUUCGUUAUUAAGAUCUCAUUAAGAUACCUCUCCUUCCCCCUUUCUCCCUCCUUUCCCCUCCUUUCAUUUGUUUACUUUCUUUUGUUUAUUUAUUGGCUUUGUUUUGAUGUGAAACUGUUGAAUUUAGUAGAUAUAGAUACAGAUUCUUAUAUCGAAGGGUCUUUACCUAUUUUGUUUGGUUUGUUUAUCAUCUUUCGUCCCUAUCGGAGACCCAUAUUUAUUUUUAUUUGGUCCAAUCAGAAAACAUUUUAUCAUUUAUGUAUUCGCAAUUCAAUAUAGAUAGAUAUCCCAUAACAUAUAUAUGUCCCUCUUACUCUCAAUUUUCUCAGGCAAUUUGGUGGAAUACUCGAACGGUCAAUUUUUUUUUUCGUCUUAGCUUCUGUCUUUAUGAUCUGGAUUUCAUUUCUAUGGGUUGCAAUUUUUUUUCUUUAAUUUCAUUUUUAUUCUUAUAUAUAACCAUAAUAAGAAUAGGAUAACUAAAAAAUAAAAAUAAAAAUUGAAUUUAUUAUUAUUUCUUUAUUUCUUUAUAGUAUAAUAGCUAGAACUAAUUAUUUAUAUUUAAUAAAUACAACUAAUUAUCCAUUCAUUUCUAUUUCAAAUUCGAAAAUAAUUUAAAUUUUUUAGUUUAAAAAGAGUUCCAUUCUAAUUAUCUAGAUUUAUAACGCAUCAUUUCAUUUAUAUAAUGAUAAUAUAUAUAAAUACAUAAAAAUAUUUGGACUCUAAUUAUAUCUAUGCAGAACUCUAAGCUAAAUAAAAAUAAAUUUAAUCUAUAUUAAAUCUAUUAAAUUCAUCGAUUAAAUAAAUUCUAUAUAAUUUAGAAAAUAAGAAUAGAGUCAGUAAUAUUAGGAAUAAUUAAUAUAGAAUCAUUUGUUUCUAAAUUUAAAUGGAAUUUGAGAUUUAAUAUUUGUAAUUAAAAUUUAAAAAAAUUAAAUCAUCCCAUUUUUUACUGAAAAUAUUUUUAAUUCAAUAAUUGACGUGGAUAAUAUUUUCUAUUUAAAUUUUAAAUUCAAAAAAUAUAUACUUGAUAGUAAAUAUUAAUAAUGUGAAUGAUUGAAGUGAGAGUAGCCACAUAUUUUAAAAUUUAAGUUGAGAUUAAUAUUUAUACAUUUUAAAUAAUUAAAAAUAAUUGGACGGAGGAAGUCUAGUGACUAGUCUUUAGAGUUUUGACUUAUAGAUCUGCCCCUUAAGGGGGUUUUUAAUGUAUGACUAAUAUAAUGCCGAAAAGUUAGGUGAUAAGAAAAAAGAAUUUCUUUUAGCCCAACUUAUUGUCUAAUUCAAUACAAAUAAAUCAAUAUAUUUCAGAUAAAAAUAUUAAUAUAUUUGGAAUUUAGAUAAGGCUUAGUGACAUGGAUAAAGCUAGAAAAUUGUUUCAAGAGGAAUUAGAGAUGAAUAGUAAAUUAUUAAAGGGUUAAGAUGUAAUUUUACCAUAAUUUUUAUAAAAAAAAAUUUGAAGGGAUUAAAUGGCAAAGACCUCUUCGUCCUGCUGGAACUUAAAUUCAGAUUAAUCUAAAAGAGAAUCUAGGCCAGACAUUUGUAUAAGAUGAUAUUCGAAUCUAAACCACCGACUUCAACCUGACCAACUAUGACACAUUAUUCGUAUGUCUAUAAAUUGGAAUGGUAAUAAAGUUGUGAUUGGACCUAUCUUUGGGGUUGCUUUUUUUGCCUACAUGAGGGAAUCCUUAAUAGAGAAGGCUUCGGGUAUAAGGUGGGGAUUGUUUUGGUACUUUUGCUUCGUAGGGUUCACGGUGGAUUUCAGAACAUUGAAUGAUUUUUCUAAAAUAAAAUAAUUACUUUUUGCUGUUUCGGUAUAAGUAUAUUUCUUUUUUGAGUUGAUUUAGAAUUAGAUGAAAUUGAUUUUGAAUUUAAAUCUAUUUCUAAUUUAAAUUUAAAAAGGUUCAAACUGUUUCGAAUUCAAUUUAAGACUGGCUUUUUCGGAUCAAUUCAAAUCCAUUUGAGUUUGAAAUGAAUUUAAUUUUGAAUCAAAUUAAGUUCAAGUUCAAUAGGUUCUAAUUUGUUGAUUUUUUUUAAUCACAAAAUUGAUUGUGAAAUUUAGGUUCAAAUUCCAAAUUGAUCACUAAAAAUGUAAGUUAAAAAAUCAACAUGUUUAAACCUGAAAUCGAUUACAAAAGGAACAUAACAAGGGAAUUUAAUGUAUACUUCCCAAUAGCAGUGAAAACGUGACAGCGGCUGUGACCAAGAUUUCUAACACACCACCACCACACUGAUAAUACUUAAGUUUAACCCAGAAACCAAAAAUCUGAAAUCCGAUGAACAAAGAAACCGAGAAAAAAAAAAAAGAAGUAAAAUUAGUCCUGCCUCGUAUCACAGUUAGUUUCGCUUCUACAAGCCUCGAUUUAAGCAUCCUCAAGAAAAGAUGUAGUGAAAACCGAAAUAGUUCAAAUGCUACAACAGCAAAGGUAUAUAUGUCUAUUUUCCUGGCCUAAUUCUCAGAACUACCUGCGCCCACUUACAAUUUUUCCAAAUGCCUUGGCAAGAGUUACAAUAGCCCGAAUUUAGCGAUCACUUUUCUCAUCUACUUCUUCUUCUUUGAUUUGGAAGCCGACUGAGUGUAAGCAGUUCCCUGAAAAUUAUGACGACCAAAACCAGAAAUUGUCAGUAACACUCCUAUAUAGAUCAUUAUUUGAUGAAGUCCCAUGGUGAACUCAUGAAUAACCUCAAUCAUAUCCAUUGAAUAAACAGAUAACGAGCUCUUGGGGACAAGAGUAGUGAAAAGAAAAUCUAGCUAAAAUAGAAAGAAUGGGAAGUGAUGAUGAUGAUGAUGUGAUGCAUAAGCCAAGACAUAACCUGAAGCCAUUCAUCCAGUGAAGCAUCGGGAGCCCUGGUCCCAACUUCCACCUUUGGAGCCCUCUUAGUUUUCUAGCAAAAUAAAUAAGUCAAAAACACAUUAGCUUUAUUCCACAAAAAGAAGCAUAAAACACAUAAAGUAACACUGCAAAUUGAAGCUUUCUUCAAUUUAAGAACAAAAUAUCACGGAUAUUUAACAUUUUCACAGCAAAACAGCUUGCUGAAAACUUGAAAUAGGUCAUGAAUGCUAGAAACCUAGAACAAUGUUGAUUUCCCUACAUGUAUGCAUGGAUGUGCUCUUUUAAUUUCUAUCAGCAAAAGCCUUGUUACAUCGAUCUUAUAAUAACUGGAUACUGCAGUGAAUUAAUAUAACAAUAGCAAGGUAGCACAACUACAAUACCUUGGUGAUACGCUGAAAUUGACCGUGAAGCCACAAACCAAGGAGAACAAGAAGUGCAAUCCCAAGGGUAACAAGGAAAACGGACUCAACACUGAGGAAACCACCAGCCUCAACAACUUCAAUGGUACCAUUAUAGAAUGUACUUUGGUAUGGUUGCUGAUCAAUAUCAUAGAUAAUCGAACCCACAAGAUCAAAAGUUCCAGGCUGCAGCAAAAUUCUGGAUGUGUAAGCUCUACCGCAACUGUACUUCUCACAGAGAAUUUAUAUACGGUACCAAGGCAUAAAUCUCACGGAGUAAUCAUUUACCUGUAAGUACUUGCUAACAGCAAAUACGUAAGGGAAAGUAGCUUGAACUGAAGGGGGUACAGUUGCAUUGUUGAAAGCCUACAUUAACACAGACAUAUUCAGUUCCAGAAUCUACAAGGAAACAUCACAAGGCAGCUUUCAUGCAACAACAUAAGCUGUAAAACUCCAAAAUUACAAGGAGCAUGACAAACUUUGUACCAACACAGAGCCUUGAGAUCUUUUUCAAAUAAAGCAGCAAAGAUUUGAUAAUGAAGUAGGCAAAAAAAAACAGCGCAGCAUUAUUAUUGCAAAACAACCAGUUAGAGCAUGAAUGCCUUACAUGCUCAAUUUCAUAUUUGAAAAUCAUUGUAAGGUCUACAAUUAAAAGUUAAAGAUACAGCAAAAUCUACACUAGUACCAAAUCCUCUGCUAAAGUUUCUUAAACGAGAUAUAUAACUUCUCAGUGCAAGUUCAACAUCCCUCCACCAUAUUAACAAGCACUGGUUAAAAUAAUUGACUCUACUAUAAGACUAUAACUGUUAUAGCCUAUUAGUGUAGGGAAGCAGUUACAAAUGAAACACAAACUAGUGUCGCAAUGCAUAAAACUCAUAUUAUUGACCAUAUGUUUGACAAUGGAUAUUUAAAACAUCCAAUAAGAUAUCAUAUCAACAUGAGAACAUGCAUGUUUCAAUGCUCAUGGGGUUAAGCUGGCUUGUCAAGCUUCAAGUAAUGAAGGCUGAAAUAGAGAAUAACUCUUUAGUUAUUAUUAGGUAUCCUAUAGGCAAUGAUCUAGUAGUAUGAAGAUUGGGGCACCUAAUAACUGAAAUUAAAACCCUUUCUGUGAUAGCUUUGCUAGGUUAGGAAGAGAUAAUGUUUCUACUUGGUGGCAAACAACCACUGAAUUGUACUGGUCGCUGGCUUUGUACUGAUGACGGUAUUAUUAAUAAAUGACCAUACAACCGCACUCUUUUUCCACUCUUCAUUUAGAAUAGUGGUUUUUUAGUGGGGCACAUUUUUCAUUAAAAAAUCAAUGAAUGCUAAAUUGUAUUUUAUAAAACAAACUCACUGAAUGAUUAAUUUUAUUUAUAAAAACUAAAGGGCUAGAUACUAAAUUAUGCAAAGCUCUUCAGUUAGGAAAUAAUAGAAAUUAAUCAAAAUGAAAACUGAACUAACUAAUGAAUCAGGAGUAUUUGAAAAUGUUAAACCAGAACAAUAUCAAGAAACUCUAUGAUUACCACUGCUGUAAGAUUUUGAACAAGCAUACGGUGAUCAAAAGGGAGAUGAACACUGGCUUUGAUAGCAAUGACAUUCACGGGUGACUCCCCUGCAAUUUAAAGAAGUAAGCUAUGCAUAAGAGUGAAGGAAACCUCAAAUGGCUAACAGAAAAGACUAAGCAUUUAAGCACAGUCAACUACGGAAAGAUAAACUGUGUGUUGCUAUCUCAACACAGUAAAAACAAACUUCAUUGUAAAAUAUAUAUCAGUAAGGUAGUGAAGGCAAAUUAUUACCAAUAUUUUCCAUCCCAACAAGGAGCUCAGUCUGUUCUCCAGCCAGAACCACUGUCCAAGAUUAGCCAAAAAGACAAUACACAUCACUCUCAAAAUCAUAAAACAUUGAAAUCAGAGAUGCGGCACCAAAAAGUUCUUACAUUUGGCGCUAUUUUUGGGGAAAACGCAAACAGUUUUAACUUCAGGAGCUGAACUGUAAUUAGGAUCACCAAAAUCCUGAACAUCCUCCCCAACAAUACCGAGAUCACCUCCUUCAACAGCUUCUGCAACAUCUGCCUCUGCUUCUGAUUGACACCUAGCAACUAUCACAGAAAAGAAAACUCAUGUGAAGCCAUAAUUUUAAAACAAAAUGAAAAUUUAUUUAUUUAUUUAGUAAUUUACCAAAAAUAAAUAAAAAGUAAACAAAAAUUAAUACAACAAACAGAUCCGACAUCCGGAAAUAACUGCUUCAAUAAUGUUAUUGAAAAGGACACCAAACUCCAAAGUACUUGCCAAGGCCCUAGUACUCUUUCCUUUCAUUUUCCAAGAGCAAACCUAAACUGUAUUUCUAAAACAGCCACUAAAAUGCCAGUAAGAACAGAUAUCAAGAAGAUACCUAAGCUUCUUUCAAAAAAAUUCAAUCGAACUUUCAUAAUCACAGCCAUGCAACGCAACAAUGAAUUUAAAAAUAAAGAAAUCACUUCAAAAUCUCACUACCAAAUCAUAAAUCUAGAAAAAAAAAAAAAAAAACAAACCAAUCUCACAUGGAUGUUAAAAAAAAGCGAAACUAAAGGAAAACAAAUCGAAUUGCUUCUCAUUUAACCAGAUCAAAGCAAUCGCAGUAAGCAACUAAGCAUGAAAUCCAAAAAGCAACAUAGAAACUCCACAAAAUGAAACGAAUCGGUAAGCAUAAAUACCUAAUUACAGAUCUUAAAUAUAACAAAGCAAGUAAAAACAGAUCAAGAAAAAAAAUUUUACAAACCUUGAAGGAAAGGAGAUGCGAGGAAGAGGAGAGCAAAGAAGAAAACGCUGAAAAUUUUCAUCGCCAUUUCAGAGAGUUUUUUUUUUUUUUUUCCGUCAAAUGAGAAAUAAGAAAAAUAAAUUAAUCGGUGUUAGAAAUGACAAAUAGAUGGAGGAGGGACGGCGGGUUUUAAUCCAACGGCUAUAAAUGACAGAGAGCUCGGCCGAACGAACAUUCUCCGUUGGAUCUUUGGUCAAUUGUGUGCUUCUAAAUAAUAUACAACUACUUCUCCACUACCCUUUUGUUCAUUUGCGCUUGCAGAAAAAUCAAAUAUAGCACGGCGCCGUUUUGGUCCUGACUUAUAUUUUCUUUUAUAAUUUAUUUUAUUUUUAUUAUCGAUAAAAUUGAAAUUUAAAUAUCUUGAUAUUUGAGGUUGAAAUCUCAUAAUUUAUGAAUUUAUUUUACGUUUCAAUUAUUUUUUAUAAAUUUUAAAUAAAAUAUAAAAUGAAUUUUUAAAUUAUUGGAUUAGUCGAUUAAAGGAUAAGUUGAUUUGUAUUGAGCGUGUAUAGUUUAUGAUUGAAUAAUUUCAUUGAAAUGGGCAUAUGUGUAUAAUAUAAUGACAUUAAAGGUAUGUAAGGCUAAAAUAUAAUGUUACUAAUGUUGCAUUUGUGAUUAGACAUUAAGUUGUAUACAUAUUGGUUUCAUUAUGUACAUAUGCAGAAGUUAUGAAAUGCAAAGUUUGAUAUUUAGAUAAUGAAAUUAUGUACGUACAUAUUCCCUGUAUAUGAAAAGUGAGGAUAUAUGCUUGAAUAUGAUUUAAUUAUGAAAAUGUCGUUAAUACGAUGGAUUUAGGGAAAUCGAAUAUUGAAAAUAUUAUAUACUUGAACAUGACUCUGAUAUAUACAAGUUUGGUUCGAAUUUGUUAAUUAUAGAAUAUGUUCGAUUGAGCUUUGAUGUAUGUUUAAAUUGAAUUAAUUUGAAUUUGUAAUGUGUUUAUUUCUAAUACAUGCUUAGUAAGGUAUGAUUGAUUUGAAUUGUAAUUAUCAUAUAUAUAUAUUUGAAUUUAAAAUACUUGAAUUAACGACAUUCAAGUUUGAUAAUGUUAUAAAUGUAUCGUUAUUCUUUGGUGUAUGAAAGGUGAUAAAUGACUGUGCUAAACUGUGUCUUGUUCGGUUAAUGCCUCGAAACCCUAAUCUGGCAACAGAUACGGGUUAAGGGUGUUACAAUAGUGCCGAUUUUAGGGGAUAUUUUGAUGAGAGUGAUGAUUAUAAACGGUAUUUAAAUGAAUCUAGCACUAGGAGUGAAAAGUCACAGUUGGACAUUUAUUUGGAAGAACCGGAGCUUGAGUUGAAUAGUCAAAUAGAUGUUUUGGAUUAUUGGAGCAAAAGUUCAGUUCGAUACAAUGAGCUUUCAUUAUUGGCUCGUGAUAUUUUGGCAAUUCCAAUAUCGACUGUAGCUUCCGAAUCGGCUUUUAGCAUGGGUAAGAAAGUUAUCACACCUGUCAGGAGUUCACUUAAGCCAAAAACGGUUCAAGCCGUUGUUUGCUUGGAUGAUUGGAUGAGAGCUAAGGGAUUUUCAGCAGGUAAUUAUUAUUCUCGUUUUAUUGUUGUAAUUUUAUACUAUUUUUUCAUCAAUUUGAUUAUCUAAUUAUUUAUUCUUAUUUCAUGUUAGAAAUUGGUUGCAAAAAGGACGAUGAGGACGAUGACGACGAGGUUUCUUCAGUUGCUUUUUAAGAUACUUUCUUUCUAAAUGUUUAAAUUUUAAUUUAGCUAACAAUUUAUAUUUUGUUAUAAAAUUAAAUAUGUUGAUGGAUUAAUGUAUGAAUACUAUGGUUUGUUGUUUAUUGCUAUAAAAUUAAGUAUGUUUAAAUAUUUUGUUAUAAAAUUUAGGUGACAGGAUAGAAUUGGAAGUGAUAACAUUGGACUUAUAGCAAUGAACUACCUAUGGGAGAUUUGAGAGUAUUGUUAUUAAUAUUACAAAGGUUUGUUCAAGACUCUCCUACCAAAUUUUGAUUUCUAUAGUUCUUUAUUUGUCCAACUAAUUUAUGUAUAAGAAAUAGAACAAAUUUGCUUAUUGGCCAGGAAAUAUCAAAUUAGAAAUAGAAAUGGAAUAAAUAAAUCCAUGUAUUGUAUGGCUUUAAUAAUACAUAACUCCAGUAAAAAGAAAGAGACCCACUCAGCUUACUAACAUUGUGGGCUCUUGUAAAGGGACUUGGAAGACAUUUUUGACUUGUCAGUCUCUAAAACCACACAUUAUUGGUAAUUGGUAAAUACUGCACACGUAAUAUUGGUUGGUUUUAAGAUAAAAAAAAUGUAAACUUAUUUGUUUACAAAAAUACUUUUUAAUAGCACUGACAAAUACGAACUGUAAAUAAAAAGGAAUAAAAAGAAAUCUGUUACAAAAUAAUAAUAAAACAACAUCAGGUUUGUUUUACUAAUCAAAUGUUAGAUUUUGUUACAACAAUUAAUAUAAUUAAUAAUUUGAUAAUUUUACUAAUCAAAUGUUAGAUUUUGUCACAACAAUUAAUACAAUUAACAAUUAAUAAUUUGAUAAUUUUACUAACAAUUAGUUUUAAUUUUAUUAAAAUAUAAUUUUAAUUUUAAUUAAAAACGGGCCAGGUCGGGCCGAGCUCGGGCUCCAUAUUUUUUCUCGGGUCGGGCCGGGCUCGGGCUUGGGAAGCGGGCUGAAAUUUUUUCCUAGGCCUGGCCCAAACCCAUGGACACCUCUAGGUAUCGUCGGUUGAACUGCUGGGUCGGGUGACUGUGUCAGUGUUGUUGUUGUUAGGCCUGAUGAAGUUAUAAGCGCUAAUGAUGGGCCAGGUAAAUUUUUGAGCCUCGUUGAUGGGCCUACGUCGUCGUCCCUUCUUCUUGGAUUUAAAGAGCCACGUCGUUCCCUUUAGACACGCAAUUGUCGCUGCCUCUCCUCUGGCGAGAGUAAAUACGGCUUGCCAUGGUUCCUAAACCAUGGCAUGUAUUCCGGCACGCACGCUAACUCUGGAAUGAUGAUCGGUUCCCGAGUAGAUAUAUAGUCAUACCGAUCUUCCCACAUCUGGAUGUAGUGUGACCAGAAUCUCGGCCAAUUCGUAUGCAAUUGCCGUAGGUUAAUUUUGUGAUGAUAAUCCAACACCUCAGCUGACACGGGAAUCGGUUGUCGGAAUUCAAAUUGUCGUAAUACUCUGUCUGACUGGUGCAUCUCCACAGUCGCAAAGUUGACCAAUGGGACUUUCACAUGCCAACUGUUUGGAUUUUGCAAGUACUCAUCCGGAAUUACUGCCCGAAUUGCCGGAUCCUCGUAUGGUGUCCAUUCAAACUAUAUGACCAUGAUGGAAAUAUUAGUUAUGUACUAAAUACUAAAUACCAAUCGACUAUCUCAUUAUGGAAAUAUAUAUUUUAUUUAAUACUUACUUGUGCUUCUGACUGUUGGUCCAAUAGAAGCCGUAUAUCUUCAAGAGAGGUAGGUAAUCGAGCAUAACUUGCCGGAUGGUUCCACCUAAUUAAAUAAAUUUUUAGCAUUCGAUUAUAUUUUAAAUCUACGUAAUAAUUGUAAAAUCUAAUAUAAAAUUUACCCCGUUAUAAGUGGGAAUGUAUACGGGUGGUCCACUUGAGGACGUAAAAAUGAAAAGCGAAACCAUGCUCAUGACUGCAGUAGUGACAAGCAACCUCCGAUUUUCGCUUUAUUCGGUCGCGUCGCCCCGCACAUCUCUCGGUACAAUUUUGCCAACACGGCAGACCCCCAGCUAAAUUCACCAGCUGCUCGAAAAUCAACGAGUUUCAGCAGCCAUCUUAGAUGCACGAGGUUCCGUGACAAGGCCGGCAUCAGAUAACCUCCAAUUAUCUGAAGAAUAUAUGCAUGAGCAUAUCUGAUUCUUUCUAUUUCAGUAGAAUCAUCAUCCGGAUCCAGGAAUGUGUCUCGUAACCAGCCCAUAUCGAUUCGACCUCUGCUAAUAUUCUCCGGAAUAGCGCCCAACAGCUCGUAGCAUACCGCUCCCUAAUCACCAGAUUGAACAGACUCGGUGACUGCGUACCCGUCCAUUGGCAACCCCAAUUGCAAAUUGAUAUCUUCCAAAGUGAUAGUGCACUGUCUACAUGGAAGAUGGAAUAUGUGCGUCUCGGGUCUCCACCUCUCAAUCAACGCACUGAUGAGUUUCGGGUCUAACUUGCAUCCCCGACCUACCGUCGCCACAUGCCAAAAACCCGCCUCCCGCAGGUAAUUCUCUACCAACGGUGAUGGAGGACCAUGCAUAUUGCGGAUAUAACAUUGCAAUAUCCAAUCUACAGACUUUUAUAAAAAAUAAUAAAAUAAUAAUUAUUUAAAAUUGCAUAAAUAAAAAAAUCCUAAAUAAUAUUUAAAAAUUAAAUUUAACACUUACCAUUUUCAUUUGUUCCACGGAUAUAUGCUUGUCAUUAAGACGAAUCAAUUCCCCGGCCAUUGCUAAAUUGGUAAAAAUUUUUACGAUUUAAAAAAAGAAUUCAAAAAAAAAAAUUUUAAAACUAUUUUAAAAAUAAUUAAAAAUUUGAAGCUAUUUUAAAUAGGAAUUUAAGAGGAAUUUGAGAGAAUACUAGAGAGAAAUUGAGAGAAAGGAUUUAGUUGUGAAAUUGAGGGGAUUUUUAUAGUUUUUUUUUUUGACCGUUGGGGUGUCACCAACGGUCAAACAAGUAGCUGUUGCUACUGUUCACACGCAGGCAAAACGCGUCCCCAGGGGAGCGCUUACGUGGCAACAAAACGCGCCAUUGAGGAAGCGAUUUAUGUCCACGUAAGCAAAGCGCACCCUCAGGAACGCGUUUUUCUGCCACGUCCCCUAACAUCGCGCUGAUGUGGACGCGCUUUCGGGAAAAAUGGGCCAUUCCGAUAAAUAAUAAAAUACCGAGCCCAUUUCUUUAAAUUUAAAAAAAAAAACUUUUUCUUGUAUUUUGCCCUAUUCUUUCAUUAGUUUUUUUAGUAAUAACUAUUGGUUACUUACAGUACCCCAACAAAAGCUAAGUAUGAUACAAAUAGAUGGAUUUCUUCUCGAGCGAGGUAAUAUCUCAUCUUGAAAUCAACUCUAAAACAUAAAUUAACAUUAAAAAGUUUUAACACUUAUAUCCACACUAAACAUUUGAACAUAAUACAAAAUAUGCUGCGUAUUUAUUCCCAAUAUUUUAGUUAAAUCAGAUGUGUAUAAGGUAAACACGGUAAAAUACUCAAUUAUCUAUUGUUAUUGUUAUUAUUAUUGUACCAAUUAUUAGACCUAAGAAGGGAAUGAAGUUCUGGGGUAAGUAAUAAGAUGGAUUAAACCUGCAAAACUUCCAGCUGAAAAUUGAAGUUUCAAACUUUCAAUACAUCAACUUACGCUUGCCUACUGAAUCAGAUGUUAAACAGAAUCGUGAUAUGGCGAAAGAAACAAGAAGGAAAAAAAAAAAAAAACCUAAACGGGGUAUCCAUCAAAUCUUGCCAUUUUGAACGAUGAUAUUGUUCUUAGGUACAGGUUACAGUCUGGAGCAGGCUUUGACAAUUGGUAAGGCACUAAAAGGUUUCUUACAAACUCUGUUACAUAUGCAAGCGUCUAGGAGGGAUGGGAACGGUAGGGUGAUUGGGUAUUGUGUCGUUUGGUCCCAGAUCAUCUAUGGGGGGCCGCUGCUUAUGAUGAUUUGUUGCAGACUGGUAAGCCAUUGCUAAGGCUAAUGCCUGCAGUGAGAAAAUGGGAGGAAUAAAAUGAGACACAAAACAGUUGCAUUCUGAGAUUUCUGAUGAUUAUAGUUACUUUCUAUAUCCACUGUAUGUUACAAUCCACAUUAGAACUAAAAGUGGAUCAAGUCCAUGGCUCACGGAUCCGGAAACUUACGAUGUGAUCAUGGUUAGGAGGAGCGUAUAUGCCCGUGUUGACUGUGGUUCGUCUCCGAGUACCAGUUGGAGGUGGAUUAGGUAUGUUUUUGAAGCCAGUCGGAACAACAAUUACUGGCAAACCUACGAGAUUUCCCAUGCAUACUCGUUCCCAAUCCGUUGCAUUUCCAAUGAAUGCAUCAACAUUGAAGUUUUCUUUCACUUCUUGGAUUAACUUUCCACGAGCUCUUUGUGCCUGUGGAACAUUAUAAAAAUAGUGAAAAUAGAGGGAAAAAACAUCACGAGAAAAAAUUAAAAAUGAUUCUAUCUUUUCUCUCUAGAUUUCGGAUUAAGCGCUAUCCACUCCAGUGCUAAAUGACCAGACGGGCUACUUUUAGACCUAAAUCCCCGAUUUCCAUGCAUUCCUGCUGAUGUUCCACAUCCUAAAUCUCCAUAUCUUUGAAGACUGUUUCCGGUUUUCCUACUCAAAAAUUGGAAGUAAAAGAAGUAUGUGUCUUCUAAUAGCUCAUUAGAAAAUGUUUUCAAAAGUUAUAUGAUUUCAUCCAAACUAUAAUAUCAACCAAUAAUUAGAGAGUAUAAAACAGACCUGCAAAUAAUCUACAGCUGAAACUACACGUGCACGACGUAACUCAACAGGCCAUUGAUCUUGAGCUUCAUAAUCAUCAUCCUUCCCAGAUCGUUGCCAUUCAUCAAAAUGUGCUAACAUGUCAACAUCCAUCGUGAAAUUUAGGAUGCCUUGAACAGAAUCGACAGUGUAAUUCAGUUUGAAAGGAACCACCUUAACACCUUUUGAUUCAAGCACAUGAACAACCUGGUUUUAGAAAAAGGUCAGACCUUAAGAGUUACUUCGAUAGUUACUUUAUAUCAAAGUUAUCUCUAAGAGAAAAAGAUAUAAUAUUUCAGUUCAAUCAAUUAAUUCAUAGCAAUUCUGACAUAUGUUGUUUUUAUUUAUUUAUUUAUUAUUGUGCAUCUGUUGCGGUUGCAUAACAAACUCAAGCUUUAGCCAGAUGUUUAUGAAAUCUAACCUCCAUGUCAGCAUCGUCAAGAUAACCAACUGUAAGCUUUGUGAUAUCAACAGAAAAUGGGUCACCAAAGGGAAUGUCUCUUGAAGAAAGAUCAUCUGGAUCUUCCCCUCGGAUGGCAUCUAGAAUAACUGCACAAUCAGCAGCAUUUCGACAGAAUGGACCAAGCUUGUCCUGUUAAAAGGAGAGCAUAGACAGUUAUUGGAACAUCACACCCAGAGGCUGGAGCAAAAAUGGGGGCUGGAUAAUUAAACACUUUCAGUUAAAGAAGAUUCCUCUCCCUAAUGGUAUUACCAAGCUUUCUGAUAGGCUCAUCACACCAGUUCGUCCAACUGAACCAAAAGUUGGCCGCAAUGCUGUCACACCACACCGAGAUGCAGGGUAAGUAAUGGAGCCAGCUGUUUCUGAACCAAUUGCAAAUGGAAUCAUACCUGUAAUGAAAAUUUAAUUUCUUAGACGAAGCAAUGUGCAUCUGGUUUAGGUUCAAUACUAGGUCAACAUGUUUGAUCAUGAAAAAGAUUGUUAGACCUAAAAAUACUAUGGCUUAUUUCAUGUUUAGGAUAAAUACUAGAGGACAUGUAUGAUAAAUUGAACUUAAAAUAAAAAAUACCAGCUGAGGUGCAGGCAGCAGGCCCAGCUGAUGAGCCUGUAGAGAAUUCCUCAAUGUUCCAAGGGUUCCUAGUCCUACCACCGAACCAGAUGUCAUCAUAUGCCAGUGAUCCAGUAACAAGCUUUGCAACAAGAACUGCCCCUGCAGAUUUUAACCUGCAUUGACAAUUCAUAAGAGUGAAUAAUGUCAUCUAACUAAAAAAACUUUCCAUGAGAUCACAAUGAUUUCAGUUUUCAGUGAUGCAUAAUACCUCUUAUACACCCAUGCUUCAAUAUUAAGCACUUGAUUUUUGAAAGUUGUUGAACCCCAAGUUGUCUUGUAGA